UUGUUUAUCUGGAAGGGGAGACACCAUGGUCAUAGAAGGUGGAUUUUCCUUGAUGAGGCUAAUUCUUUGCAUUCCAGAUGUGCUGAUCCCUGUAAUUUCCCCAAAUGAAGGAAUCUCAGCUGCCUUUUUUGGUAGAAGGAGAUUGUUUGCACCCUCCCC
ensembl:snRNA U1 U1 spliceosomal RNA